rnacentral:lncRNA from 1 species
ACUGUGAGUGUUACGCCCAAAUUUGCAGCGGUGCUCUAAUGCUCAGUAUGGCAAACGAAGUGAAUUGACACUGUUCACAGAAUGUAUAAAGUGACAUAGAAAUACAAAAUCCUAAGAGACGUUUAUGAUGAUGAUGCCUUUGAUCUUUGUACCUUUUCCAUUCUAAAAUAAAAAUAUUGUGCGGUAGAGUGGUGAAGUGGGAUUGCAUGUUCUGGGGAGUGCCUCUGAAGAAAAUAAAUACACUCGGCCCUGUUACAGGUUCAGAUAACAUAUGGUAAACAAAAAGUACACUGAAUAACUAGAGUAAAACGAACUAUUGAAUAACUAACUGUAUCGAUCGUGAACUGUCAUGGAGGUCAUGUAGUGUAUUACCAUGAAAUGAAGCUGUCACGCGUGUAAAAGUAAAUGGAGGUUGCAUGAAACGCUGGAUGCUAAGCAUUGUGUUGGUCAAAUGUAAGUAACUUUUUCCUUUUUUUUUCUCUCCUCACACCACCCCUGUUUCUCUUUCUGGAUUGCUGCUGCACCUGCGUGGACUCGUUGCUACAAUGGUUCAAAUUCAUCCUUUCACUGGACUGCUUUUUGGCUGUAUUCUGUCGAUAUCUUCAACACUGGAAAUGAUGGAAAUGUGUUGUUUACAAAGUAGCUCAACAGAAGAACCUUGAAGGAUAUGUGGGGUUUGCAAAUCUUCCCAAUCAAGUUUACCGGAAGUCUGUGAAGAGAGGAUUUGAAUUCACACUCAUGGUAGUAGGUAAGUUUGUGGUUUUUUUUUGUUUUGAGUGGUGAUCCUUUGAAGUAUAUUGACAUGGUUCUUAAAAUGAUGUAAGUAUGUUUUGCACAAUUGCAUGAGAAUAUAUGGAUCUUCCUCUUCUAGACUGUAGGGUCUAAGAAAAAAGCUUGGUGUGAAUCUAGUCUAAAGUGUGACUUGCAAGUAUCGUAUCAGUACAAGUAAUUUGAACUUGGAUUUUCAUUUGAAUAAAAAAAAAUUGAACUGCUUUUACA